rnacentral:lncRNA from 1 species
ACCUGUAAGUGGCAUCAUGAUUUAGCUUUUUGACAUAAGAGCGAAGUGUGUUACCCACAUCCUAAAAAGACAGAGCCAUUCAUUAGCCUAAAAGGCCCAUCAGUUUCUCCAGGUCAAUCCCCUGUCUCAGCAGAUGGAUCUCACCUACUCAAGAAUGUCACAUGAAUGGAAGCCUAGGUACCCUGUCCUCCGUCACUUUCGAGGCUCGUCCCUGUCCAUGAGUCAGUCCCUUCGUUCCUUGUUGAGUGGUGCUCACUGUGUGAACAGCCCAGCUUGUUUAUUCACUCUUCUGUUGAUAGACACUUGGACUGCUUCCAGUUCAGGGCUAUUAGGAAUAAAACUGUUAAGAAUAUCCUUGGAGCAGGCUUUUGUGGGCUUAUGUUUUCAUUUAUCUUGGAUAAAUAUCCAAGAGUGGAAUUGUUGGGCAAUAGGGAAGAUGUCGGUUUAACCUUAAAAAAAAAAAAAAAAAA